UUGUUGUUGUUAUUACUGUGACCUAACCAAGAGGUAAUGACAAUAGUAUACUUAAUGGUUACUACUGAAUAAAGCGUUUAGAUUUGACCCAAAAACAAACAAACAAACAAACAAACAAACAAACAAAAAAUGAUAGAAACACUUUCAGUCUGCAUUUCAGGCCUUGCAUUUAGAAUGCUGCGCAGUUACCUAUGGCAGUUACGUCAUUGCGCGCGCCUAAAUUCAAACGUAAUCAAAAGACCGCCAAAUUACGCGCAUUUCGGGAUCGAGACCAACGGAUGAACAUGUUCGCUUUUGUCCAGUGGAAACAAGAAACGGAAUUAAAGUUGGAGCAUUGUUCCAACAUCACACAUAAAAAACUUAGAUAAAAUAAUGAUGAUUUCUUGGACGGACAAGAUGACAGAUCUGUAUAUUUAACCGAGUGGAGAGGUGGACUGAAGAAAAAAACCUCAAUGCGGAUGGCAUUUGUACGAGGCAAUGGUGCAUAAAGUUGCAGAGACAGCCCACCCUAGAAAAACCAACGAGGACUCAACAUCAGUCCAGUCCAAAACUUCUGAGCAAAAGAAAAUGCAGGCCAAGCUUUUUAAGAAUAAGGAAGUUGUUCUGGCGGAAGCAGAUAUUUAACUUCACAUAUUGUUAAGUAUAAUUAUUAUUAUUUAUUAAUAAUUGUAGUAAUAGUAUAGAAAAUAUGUGAUGCAAAGCUAAAUUGUAUCAGGCCCCCUAAACACUUUUUAAUGUUCUGUUUAUUAAUAUAACUUUAAUAUUGAUUCAUGUUUGCCUUUCCUCACAGCUUGAAAUUCACCCGGGCUCAGGAAUUUGUGUUGUGGUCAUGCAAACAGCCUCACUGCUAUGGCAUGCUUCUUCUUGAAGUAUUUUGACACUUUUGCUAAAGCGCAAUCUCAGAGGUGGCAAGUCUAAAAAAAGCAAGCCCUGGGGAAACAAAAGAGGCCUUGGACAGAACAAAAAUUGAUGCAAUAAUGAAUGCAGGGAUCCAGAGAUCUCCUGGAACCACCAGGAGCCAACUAAGGGUCGCUAUUAAUCAAAAGGUCACUGAGCUGCGGACAUCCAAAAAGAUUCUAAAACUUAAAAAAUGAACAGUAUGCAGCAUAUACCUGUGGCCUGUACCAUGAAGGAAGUUUAACAAACUCAGUGUUAUAGGAUUAGUAACUUGUGAAGUUAGUUUGUAUAGUUGAUAAUAGCGAUAGAGACUCAAACAUGUAAGGUCAUAUCAUAUUUAAAGCUUAUUUACAGCUUAUUUAUAUUACAUAUGAUCUGUAUAUAUUAAUAUUCAUUUGAACUAAAUGCUUAAUAAUAACUGCUAAACUAAAAUUUUAACUAAAAUCGCUUGUUUAAUGAAUAAAUAAUAAUAUCAUAUAAUAUAAAUCAUAUAAUAAUUCUAAGUAAUUAUUAUUAAAGCCAGACAAUUUUAUUACCGGUUGAAAGGUUAGCCGGGGGGUGCAAGUUAUUAUGGUGAAGAACACCGCUAAAAGCCAAGUCACUUUCAUGGUACCUAAAACCCAGGAUUGGGCCAAACUAAUCUGAAACUUAUCCAGCUUCAUGGUACAGGCCCCUGUUGGUGGAUUUUCAUGUUCUGGGCUUUUGUUGUGUGUUCAUUAGAUUUCUAAUUUUGCACAACUUAUUUAUUUAUUUAUUUUAUAAUGUAAUCUUUUAAUAAAGAUUUAAUGUUUUAA